rnacentral:misc_RNA from 1 species
UUAUUAUGUUUAUUAAAACUUGUUUACAUUCAUUAUACUGAGUUUAUAAAAAGGGGGGUUGAACUGCCGUUCGCAAUUAAGCUGCAGACAGAACAAGAGCACAGGGUGUAUGUGGAUGUGAAGGGACUUGACAAGCUCUUUCGAGACUUGACCAAGUAUUUAAAUCACUAGUGAUCCUUCCGCAGGUUCACCUACGGAAA